ensembl:snRNA U6 U6 spliceosomal RNA
GUGCUGGCUUUGGCAGCACAUAUACUAAAAUUGGAACGAUGUAGAGAAGAUUAGCAUGACCUCUGCACAAGGAUGACACACAAAUUUGUAAACUGUUCCAUAUUUAA